UUAAUUAUUAGGCCUCUUUCAGAGGGUGAUUCUAGGUCUCUUUGGUUGUUUCAAUCAAUGUUUUAAAAACCGGACCGGACCGGCCGGUCCAACCGGUUCAACCGUCGACCGGUCGCAUUUCCGGUCCGGUCCACCCUAUUAAACCGUUUAACCAUUGAACCGAUUACGAACCGCCUGAACCAGCGGUCGAACCGGUGAACCGGUAGAACCGGACGGUUCUAAACGAACCGAACAGUCCAUAUUGGCCCAUAAUUUUACAAGCCCAAUGUAUAAAAAUUAAAAGCUGCAGGCCAAAAACCAAGCCCAAUGUAUAAAAAUUAAAAGCUGCAGGCAAAAAACCAUACUGGGCCAUGUCUUAGCUUGACAAAGCCCACACCCAAACCCUUUAAGGAGGCUCGAUCUUGAGCCCACAAGGUGGGCGUGUAGCUUUCACUGAGGAGGAUACCUUUUAUAGGCAUCCUUUGCACCCUUAUUUCUCUCACAAACCGAUGUGGG
rnacentral:lncRNA from 1 species